rnacentral:rRNA from 1 species
UACGUAGGGUGCGAGCGUUAAUCGGAAUUACUGGGCGUAAAGCGUGCGCAGGCGGCUAUCUAAGUCGGAUGUGAAAUCCCUCGGCUUAACCAAGGAAGUGCACCCGAAACUGGAUAGCUUGAGUACAGAAGAGGAUCGCGGAAUUCCCGGUGUAGAGGUGAAAUUCGUAGAUAUCGGGAGGAACACCAGUGGCGAAGGCGGCGAUCUGGGCUGAUACUGACGCUGAGGUGCGAAAGCGUGGGGAGCAAACAGG